AUGGACAGGCCGGAGGUGGGGCCUGAGUUCCUGUCUCAGCCCACAGUUUUCUUUUCCAUCUGUCUUCCUUAGAGAGAGAGAGAGAGAGACAGAGAAAGAGAGAGAGAGAGAGAGAAUAGUGCAAGAUUACACCUCCUUGGAAAAGGACAGUUUCCAGGCCUAACAUAUGUAAAAUUGGAAUUGAUUAUUGGAUCACUAGGCCAAACAUGGGACACUUAGCUGAAUGGGAGGAUACAGAGCCAAAGGAAUCCAAGAACAAUCCCAAUGUUCAGAACUUCUUGGCCAGUUUUGAAAAAAAAGAAAAAAGAAAGUCCCCACCUACCUGCUGGACUUUCAGACACUGGGAAAAUUCCCUUUAAUUCCAUAUCUUAUUUCUAUUUAAAGAUUUUUUUUUUAGCAGGUUUUUCUUCCUUGGGCCCUGAGAUCCUGAAAUCCCCAUCUCCACAGUUAUCUCUUCUUGGAGUUAAAUCAUUAAGGCUGCAUGUAUGCAAAUACUGAGCUGGAGUAGCAAGUCCAUUGGCCUGGUUCAUCCACCAUAGCGGCCACCUGGUCAUCCUUCUUCUGUCACAGUGCCCCAGGAAUGGGGAACACAGCAGCUUUGACAGUAGCAAGUUAAACGAAGUUCAUGGGAGACCUGAAGUUGAACCUGACAGCUUCAUGGCACUGUCACUUUUCACGUGGACCCCUCAGGAUCAGUGCUAACAGCCCAAGUUAAAACAGAAGCAUAAUCCCAGAAAAAGAGGAGUGAUACUGGACAUAUAAAACUGGAUAAAGACCUGGAUGG